GAGGAUGGGCAAGCCACGGCUUCUCCUUCUGGAAACGGAGCUCAUCUCCAAAGAAGACCAUCAUUUUCUACUAUGGACAAUGUGGAUGCUAGUUCUCUCCCACUCACAGGUUCAGCACAUGUUACAGAAGAGCGUUUUCCUUCAGAGAUUAUUCACAGGUGUCCCACAGCCCAUAGCAAAUACAGGGCAUAUUAAGUUCAAUGUGGAAAUGGCCUGUAGCCUGCAGGAGCCUGAGGAGAAGGGAGGAGCUAGCAGCCCCAGUCAAGUCUAGCACAGUGCAUCUUGGCCUGCAGUGAUGGCUGUUUCCCCCAGACAGGUC
rnacentral:lncRNA from 1 species